AGAAGCAAUAAUGUUAAUAUGAGUAACAAGAAAUAAUUCUCCUAGCACAUGUGUAUAUCAGAACGAAUACAUCACUGAUAGUUACCAAAACAAACAUGAUCCCUAAUUAAAGUAAUACCACUAAUUGUUAGCCCCACACAGGAGUGCAAUUAAGGAAAGAUUAAAAGAAGUAAAAGGAACUCGGC
rnacentral:rRNA from 1 species